rnacentral:rRNA from 1 species
UACGUAGGGAGCAAGCGUUGUCCGGAAUUACUGGGUGUAAAGGGAGCGUAGGCGGGAAUGCAAGUUGAAUGUGAAAUCUAUGGGCUCAACCCAUAAACUGCGUUCAAAACUGCAUUUCUUGAGUGAAGUAGAGGCAGGCGGAAUUCCUAGUGUAGCGGUGAAAUGCGUAGAUAUUAGGAGGAACACCAGUGGCGAAGGCGGCCUGCUGGGCUUUAACUGACGCUGAGGCUCGAAAGCGUGGGUAGCGAACAGGG